rnacentral:misc_RNA from 1 species
AAAUAAAUAAGAUCAUCAGGGAACUGUGGCAACAAACAUACAGGGGCCAGGACAUAGACUACAUAAGCAUUCAUUCAGAUUCUGAAGGAUCUGGUACUCGAUCCUACAGCUAUAAGGUUGUGAUGUUGACUGGUGAUACUGAACUAGAAAUGCGAGGGAGGUGUAGUGCUGGCCAAAAGGUCCUUGCAUCACUCAUCAUACGAUUGGCGUUGGCUGAAACUUUUUGUCUCAACUGCGGAAUUCUAGCACUGGAUGAACCUACCACAAACCUAGACGGCCCCAACAGUGAGAGUCUUGCUGCAGCUCUGUUAAGAAUUAUGGAGGACAGAAAAGGCCAAGAAAACUUUCAACUAAUUGUCAUUACACACGAUGAGCGAUUUGCUCAAUAUAUUGGCCAACGCCAGCAUGCAGAAAAGUAUUAUCGCAUCUCAAAAGACGACCAUCAGCACAGUAUAAUUGAAGCUCAGGAAAUAUUUGAUUGAUAUCACAUGGUUUCAGUCUCCGACGGUAUUAUAUAUUAAGACGCUUCAUAGCUCGACUUAUGUACGUAUCGAAAAACUAGUGAUUCACCAUUUGAUAGGAACUGGAUAGGAGAAUCUCAUUGUUCUAUCUUUUCUUGUGUAAAAUGUAUUCUGUAAAUUAGUGUUCAUCUCAUCUUAAA